GAUGUACUUCCUCUGUCCGGAAUUACUUGUCAUCAAAAUGGAUGAAAAUGGAUGUAUCUAGAACUACAUUACAUCUAGACAAGUAUUUCCGGACGGAGGGAGUAUAUA
rnacentral:pre_miRNA from 1 species